UGGGAAACAAUACACAAUUCACAAUUGCAAAGAGGAUGGAAUCAACCUAAGUGCCUUUCAAUCAAAAACUGGAUAAAGAAAAUGUAGUAUAUAAACACCAUGGGAUAGUACUUAGUCCUGAAAAAUAAUGAAAUAAUGCCUUUUGCAGUAACUUGGAUAUAACUGGAGGCUAUUAUCCAAAGUGAAGUUACUCAGGAAAGGAAAACCAAAUAUCAUGUGUUCUCACCUAUAAGUGGGAGCUAAGCUAUGGUAUACAAGGGCGUACAGAGUGGUAUAAGGGACAUUGGAGUCUCAGAAGUAUGGAGGAUGGAAAGGGGGAUGAGGGAUGAAAAGUUACCUAUUGAAUACAACGUGCACUAUUUGGAUUAUGGGUAUACUAAAAGUCUUUCUUGGUUCUGGGUGUGUGUUCCUGGUUGGGAUGGAGGUGAAUUUGGCAUGGUGAUCAGACAUAUGUAAAUGUGUUUUGCGACAAGCAAGUACAAUAAAAUGGUAAUUGGCAAACAACAGAGACCCCAGGCUGGAAUGUCAGAAAGUCUGCUGCAACUUCUCCAUAGCGUGUGUAGCAGGUAUUCCACAGGCCUCUUCGAAGUCUUCUCUUUAUCGUGUUCAGAUGAUACCCUGCAGAAAAACUUAAUCAAACAUGUGAUCAAAGUUUCAAAAAGAAGUAAAAGCAUGUCCUCAUCUCUACUCCUGAUGUAUUAAACUUUCAGUCUAAUGAAACAUUAGAAUUUACAUGGAUAGACUCUGCAACAUAAGAGGGUAUUUCAAAUUCCAAUUCCUGUUAUCACAUAAAAUAUUUGAAUAUUAUAUUCCUUAUCUUUUGUUCGUUAACUUUAAAUAUAUUUUGGGAAUGGAUGGAGAGGAUUAUUGAGAUAAGUUAUGUAAACUGAAGUUUAGAUGAUCUUGAUUUUUAAAUUUAUUAUUCUAAAUGGAAGUGAUAGCAUGAUUUUAAAAGAAAAAGACCUGUGAAUCUAAAAUAAUAUUAAAUAUGUUUAUAUUACAUGUAUACAACCACAGAAUAACUCUAUAAUAUACCUAAUUAAAGAGGUAAUUAGAAAAAGGUAUCCUGUAAUAAAAAUACAGUACCCUGUGACAGCAUCAUACUUUCCCCUUAAUUAUAUUAUGUAGAUGCUAUGAUAGUCACAAAUUAGCUAAUAAUAGAAAUCCUUUGAUUUAUUUUCAGUACAUCUAUAUGUUUCUCAACAGCACUCUCAGCAAAGCACCAUUAUUACUUUAUUAAAUACUACUUUUGCCUACUUGAGCUUAACAAACAAAUCUAAUGGUAGGAAAGAAUUUAAUUUCAGAGCUGAAUGAUAAUGUUAGGCACUGUUAAUUCACACAAUUCAAAGUUAAUUAUGUUUGGCAAAAUUAGGAGUGUGGUAAUUUUGUUCUGUUGAGCUAUAGCUUUUAUGAAAUUUUAUAUUCUGAUUAAACAAACCCCAUUGACAAGAAUAUAUAACAUAUUGUAAUAUUUACA
rnacentral:lncRNA from 1 species